GUAAAUACAUAAGUUUACAGCUAUGUGAAUACGUAGGUUUACAACUGGUAGCUUAACUCAGCUGGCAGCUCAGAUGUUGAUACUGGGGUUGGACAAAGCAAUGGGCAGCCAACCCGUGGCCAGGCAGGGCCCGCAGGUACAGCCGUUGGCCCUCUGGGCCCCAACGGCUCUCCAAUAACUGGAGAAGGAACAGCAGAGGGGUGAGGGCUGCCAUCACCCCUUACAGCUCUGCAGACCCUGCCCAUCCCACACAGGUGCCCUUGGUCGGACAUCACAGCCAUGGAGAUGGACAAAGGAUACCAACCACAGAUGGAUGGGCAAAACAGAAUGCUGAAAGAACAGUUAGAGUCUCAUCUCCGUUUUGAAGCAGAGAGGUCAGAGGUGCUGCUUAUGGCAAAAUGCAGAUGUAUCUUGUGUGGGCUGCCAGGCAUCAGGACGAAGGGCAGCAGUGAACUGCCAUCUCCAGUAGAGAAGUACUCCGUUCUUCACACGGCAGUUUAUAGAGCAACAACAGAAACAAACCACACAGCAGAAAUAAAUGAAGAAGGUGGUGUGUGUUCUAGUAAAGUGUAUGUAAACUCAUAUUUCUCUCUUUGUGACAAGUUUUGGUUCUCUGCUAGUUGAAAUAUGAAACAGCAAUGGACUGACUUGUGUGAGUGCUUCCCUGUGAGUUCUGUGAAGCCUGGAUUAACACUCCGGCAUAACCAUUAUAAUUUUGACUGAUUGUAAUAGAGACCUAUCUUCUUUAUGUCCAUGAAAAUCUGGAGAAGUGCAGGCAAAUCAUUAUAAAAGAAAUAGAGACUAGUUGCAUUGUACUUUUUGAUUCUAGUAAAAUGGGGAAGUUACAAGAACUAUUCUUAUAUACUGUGUUACUUUCACCUGUCUAUGUAAAAGUGCACAAAGAUGAGUAUACUUCGGAUUUAAUGGUAGCAUCCAUAAAUACUGGAUUCUGGAUGUUUGGGGCUGCAGCUUUGCUGUAUACGAGUCAAACUCGUGAAGAGCAGGCUCAUUGUUUCUUCCCUUUCUGAAUCUCCCAGUGCUGUCCUUCUCAACAGCUACACAGAGCAGAAAGCUUUAGAAGCCUGUAAUCCCCUGACCUCUGGC
rnacentral:lncRNA from 1 species